rnacentral:rRNA from 1 species
AUUGAACGCUGGCGGCAGGCCUAACACAUGCAAGUCGAGCGGAUGAAGGGAGCUUGCUCCUGGAUUCAGCGGCGGACGGGUGAGUAAUGCCUAGGAAUCUGCCUGGUAGUGGGGGAUAACGUCCGGAAACGGGCGCUAAUACCGCAUACGUCCUGAGGGAGAAAGUGGGGGAUCUUCGGACCUCACGCUAUCAGAUGAGCCUAGGUCGGAUUAGCUAGUUGGUGGGGUAAAGGCCUACCAAGGCGACGAUCCGUAACUGGUCUGAGAGGAUGAUCAGUCACACUGGAACUGAGACACGGUCCAGACUCCUACGGGAGGCAGCAGUGGGGAAUAUUGGACAAUGGGCGAAAGCCUGAUCCAGCCAUGCCGCGUGUGUGAAGAAGGUCUUCGGAUUGUAAAGCACUUUAAGUUGGGAGGAAGGGCAGUAAGUUAAGACCUGGCUGUUUUGACGUUACCAACAGAAGAAGCACCGGCUAACUUCGU